rnacentral:rRNA from 1 species
UACAGAGGUCUCAAGCGUUGUUCGGAUUCAUUGGGCGUAAAGGGUGCGUAGGCGGCGCGGUAAGUCGGAUGUGAAAUCUCGGAGCUUAACUUCGAAACUGCAUUCGAUACUGCCGUGCUUGAGGACUGGAGAGGAGACUGGAAUUUACGGUGUAGCGGUGAAAUGCGUAGAUAUCGUAAGGAAGACCAGUGGCGAAGGCGGGUCUCUGGACAGUUCCUGACGCUGAGGCGCGAAAGCUAGGGGAGCAAACGGG